CUCAGCUCUACCUGCAUUAUAUUCUGAAAGCCAGCACUGUCUUGGGAACUUCCUGGAGAUCCAUGAGGAAGGUGAUGCUCUCUGAUUCUUAAUCAUUGCUAGUUGGCAGAAAUUCAGGACUCUUGGCUGCUCUGGGAAUGUAGGUGGAGCUUAUCAACUGAGUCUGUGUUGUGGAAACAAAAAGAAAGCAGGCCAAUGAUGUUUCUGGACGCUCAGUGCCCCACGGAGAGGUCUUUGCUCUGGAGGAACUGAUGUCCAAAUACUCUGCCUUAGGUCUUGGAGCAAUGUUAGUAGGACAAUAAUGUCCUCAAGCAUUGAUAAUAACCAAUUUAACCUUCACUAUGCCUGAAGUUCUGCAACAGCAGUGAUUUGCCUGUCAACAGGACUGUGACACUGAACAGAAAUGUACUCAAGUUCACAGUAUCAGAUUCCGGGAACACACCUCUGCAUUCAGGAAAGGGAUCAAGUUCCUCAUGGUCUAUAAUACCAGUAGCAGGGAAAAUCUCUGGGUGGUGACUUCAUGGCUGGGACAGUCUUUGGAGUGAGAAUGGGAAAGGAGCUAGAAAAAGGUCUUUCCAUGUCUAGUCAAGGAAAGCAUCAAGACUGGUCCUAUGGAAAUUUCCUUGGAGAAUUGCCUUUGAGGGGUGGGAAGAAUUUACAUAAGUGGAGUAGAAGUGGAAAGACAGUUUGCCUUAGUCAUAAAAGUGUGUGUAUAAGCACAAAUACAGCAAUGUGAAAGACUGUAACAGAGACUUCUGAGUCGAAGAUGGGCAGAAGUAAAAGUCUGAUGUGAUAAGGGUCUUAUUUUCCCUUUAAAAAUUCUCCAAUAUAGCUGAAAAUAAGUGCAAUAUAUUUUCCCCUCUGAUAAAUUCUGUCUCCAUUUAAAACAUAUUUAUCAAUCAACACAUAUUUAUAGAAUAUUUUCCCUCAUGUGAUAAAUAUAUAGUAUAUGUUCUCAACAAAGACAAGUGCAAAGAAGCUAUUUACACCUAACUUUAUGAGCCAAAAAUUAAGACAAAAACUUGAACACAGAACUGCCCUUGAAAAUCCUGAGCAGAAGUUCCCAUUGUGGCUCAGCAGUAAGGAACCCAGCUAGUAUCCAUGAGGGCGUGGGUUUGAUUCUGCCCCCGGCUCAGUGGGCUAAGGACCUGGCAUUUCCAUGAGCUGUGGUGUAGGUCAGAGACAUGGUUCACAUCUAGUGUUGCUGUGGCUGCAGCAUAGGCCAGCAGCUGCAGCUCUGAUUGGACCUCUAGCCUGGGAACUUCCAUAUGCCACAGGUGCACCCCUAAAAAAAAAACUAAAAAAAAAGAAAAGAAAGAAAAUAAAAGAAAAUCCAGAGAAGACAGUAAGCAUAAAAGAUACGAAGGUUUAGGCAAAAACAAGGAGGCUCCAUCUACCUCAGAGAAGAACAGAGUUGCACCAAACUUCCAUCAAAGAUGAGGUUGAAAGAAACCCAAGACAGACAAUAUGGCACAAGGAAUAAGCUACUGGAAUCAUUUCACUUAAAACUAAGAACACCAUAAUUAAAUGUCAAGUAAAACACAAACACCCCUCAUAUAACAGAAGCUCAAUAAAUAUUUAUUGAAUAGAUGAGUAAAGGAAUCAAAACCAUUACUGCACAUAUUACAAGUGUUCUGGUUUGGCAGUAAGUACAACAUUUGAUGGCACACACCCUAAAAAUAAGCAUCUGGUUCCCACAUUGAAUUUUAUUUCCAAAAAGUGUCAAGAAAAAACAGAACUCUAAUAAUAUAGAAAAAUAAAUAUGUAAAUAAAUGCAUAGAAAUAAAUAAAUGACCUCCUAAGACUUUAAACACUAUUGGUAAUUAACAAUGAUCUAUUCCUUAAACUUUGUGGGGGUGUAUUAUAUGUUUAUUAUAUUAACCUUUAUUCCUUAUAAAGCCCUUUCUUAAUACAUUGUAGUUUAAAAUAAAGAGAGACAAAUUUUAUGAGUUAAAAAAAAAAAACUCAUUAUCCCGUCCCCUGCCAAUCUGUAAGUUUGGGGAGGAAUUUAAGCUGAAGUUAAACUGGUCAUGGAGCCUAUUCUGCUGGCAUUUGAUAGGAUUUUACUAAGCAGCUCAUUUCUCUGUUUUUUUGUUCAUAAUAAAAUUUUGUAAAGAAGUCUGAGCAUAUGAUAAAAUACAUAUUUUAUAUAUAUAUACACACAAUGCCCCUUAGGACCCAAGACACUAAAAUGACUCUGUGGAAGUGAAUGUGGAAGCCACUUUAAGCUGACUCAUAUCUGCCACUGAAUUCAGUACUGGGAUUUCUCUUUUCUUUUCUUUCUUUCUUUCUUUCUUUCUUUCUUUCUUUCUUUCUUUCUUUCUUUCUUUCUUUCUUUCUUCCUUCCUUCCUUCCUUCCUUCCUUCCUUCCUUCCUUCCUUCCUUCCUUCCUUCCUUCCUUCCUUCCUUCCUUCCUUCCU
ensembl:lncRNA